ensembl:lncRNA
GCCGGCUGCCGCUUAGAAACCGUUCAACAGUUUCUCACCGUGUCAUCAGACUGAGGGAAAACCCUUAGGAUCCUCACAGGGAGGCAAGAGGAGGUCUAAAGGUCUCCAUCAGUCCUGGUCCCUCUAGACCAGACGAGCCGAAGCAGGUAUGACACCUUCUUUUGUGCAUUUUGCACACUAUCGAUAUUAUGAGUAAAUACCUUGUUAUUAAGCAGUCUCACUAGUAUACUGGUCUAAGGCAGUCUGCACUGGUCUGAGGUAGUAUACUGGUCUAAGGAAGUCUGCACUGGUCUGAGGCAGUCUACACUGGUCUGAGCUAGUGUACUGGUCUAAGGCAGUCUGCACUGGUCUGAGCUAGUGUACUGGUCUGAGGCAGUCUACACUGGUCUGAGCUAGUGUACUGGUCUAAGGCAGUCUGCACUGGUCUGAGCUAGUGUACUGGUCUAAGGCAGUCUGCACUGGUCUGAGGCAGUACUGUACUGGUUUAGUCCUUGUGGUGCUGGCUUUUCUUCCUUGGAGGUUUUUGUAGGAGGUGUCUUCACCGUGUCUACGUGGGAUCCCACAGUGACUGAAUUUCCACAUAGAGCUGAACAGAAACCUCCAGUUGGCUGUAGAGUCUCUGGUCCGUCGGGACACAUUGAGAAUCAGAAGGGGGACCCACCCAACCCCCAAGGGAGUCUCGGGUGAGUCCCAGGUGAGUCCUAGGUGAGUGUCAGGUGAGUCCCAGGUGAGUCCUUGGCGGCUCUUCACCUGAAAUCACUCACUCUUCUUCACUCUCACUGAAUGCUGCGUCUGUGCUGCUGACGCUGUGUAAUAUUCUCACAUAAAUGUGAAGAUCUGCCGGUGUUCGUUCCUCUGAGCUCUAAAGACUCGAGGCCUCACGUCUUGUGGGUUUCUUACGUUUUCCAUCGUUUCUGAGGACAUCUGAGCUCUGAGGUUUUUGUGCAAGCCUGUAACACUGUGUUGUUGUUCGGGAAUCCGAUCCGUCUGACUGUCACUCCUAAAGGUAAGAAACACACUUUAUUCUUAGUAGUUCCAUCUACAGCUUGUGUGCAUCAGUUGAGACAAUCAAAUCCGUUGUUUAAAAGCUCAUGAACGAUUUAUUUUAAGCUGUUUUAAAUAUCUGCCUUUUAACUCUGACAUGUGUCAGAGUCAAAAGUUAAGAGUUCAUGUAUACGUGUGAUAUAUAUAUAUAUAUAUAUAUAUAUAUAUAUAUAUAUAUAUAUAUAUAUUAGUGUAUAUAUAUGCAUAUAUAUAUAUAUAUUAGUGUAUAUAUAUGCAUAUAUAUAUAUAUAUACACUAAUAUAUCUAUUAGUGUAUAUAUAUAUAUAUAUAUAUAUAUAUAUAUCUAAUGUGUGUGUGUGUCUAUAAUAAAAUCCCACUCAAAGAACUUUUUCUGUAAAAGUAGUAAUAUAAACAGCUGAAAAGUUAAUAUACAUUUAAAUGAAAGUCAAGUUAAUUUGUUCAACUUUGUGCUGCAUUACUACGAGUAAUAAAUGCUACCUACAGAGAAAGUAUUUAAAUGAGCUGAAGUAAGAGACGGUUAUGAUCUACAAAUAUCUAUUUGACAGAACUGAUGAAAGCAAGUAUAAAGCAAUAUCGCCAUGAUGAUAUAUAUAUAUAUAUAUAUAUAUAUAUAUAUAU